rnacentral:rRNA from 1 species
AUUGAACGCUGGCGGCAGGCCUAACACAUGCAAGUCGAGCGAGCGGCGGACGGGUGAGUAAUGCCUGGGAAUUGCCCAGUCGAGGGGGAUAACAGUUGGAAACGACUGCUAAUACCGCAUACGAUUGGAUUGCCCAGGUGGUAUUAGCUAGUUGGUGAGGUAAUGGCUCACAAAGGCGACGCUCCCUAGCUGGUCGGAGAGGAUGAUCAGCAAAACUGGAACGGAGACACGGUCCAGACUCCUACGGGAGGCAGCAGUGGGGAAUAUUGCACAAGGGGGGAAACCCGGAGGCAGCCAUGCCGCGUGUGUGAAGAAGGCCUUCGGGUUGUAAAGCACGUUCAGCGAGGAGGCGUUACUCGCAGAAGAAGCACCGGCUAACUCCGUGCCAGCCGCCGCGGUAAUUC